CCUCCGGGGGGCAGCAGUGGGGGAUAUUGCACAAUGGGGGGAACCCUGACGCAGCGACGCCGCGUGGGUGAAGGAGCGUUUCGGCGCGUAAAGCCCUAUCGGCAGGGAAGAAGAUGACGGUACCUGACCAAGAAGCCCCGGCGAACUACGUGCCAGCAGCCGCGGUAAUACGGAGGGGGCUAGCGUUAUCCGGAUUUACGGGGUGUAAAGGGGGCGCAGUCGACAAUGCAAGCCAGGAGUGAAAGCGCGGGGCCCAACCCCGGUACUGCUCUUGGAACUGGAUGGCUGGAGUACAGGAGCGGCAGGCGGAAUUCCUGGUGUAGCGGUGAAAUGCGUAGAUAUUAGGAGGAAACCCGGUGGCGAAGGCGGCCUGCUGGACUGUAACUGACGUUGAGGCCCGAAGGCGUGGGGAGCAAACAGGAUUAGAUACCCGGGUAGUC
rnacentral:rRNA from 1 species